GACGAACGCUGGCGGCGUGCCUAAUACAUGCAAGUAGGACGCAGUUGCGAACGGGAGAGUAACGGGUAGGUACCUAGCUAUUAGAGGGGGAUAAAUAUUGGAAACGAUAGCUAAUACCGCAUACUAGUAGAUUGACCUGCGUUGUAUUAGCUAGUCUGUAGGGGAAUGGCCUACCUAGGAAACGAUACAUGGUCGACUCGAGAGGGUGAAUGGGCAACACGGGACUGAUACACCGCCCAAGCUCCCACGGGAGGCAGCAGUAGGGGAUCUUCGGCAAGUGGGGGAACCCUGAACGAGCAACGCCGCGUGAGUGAAGAAGGUUUUCGGAUUGGUAAGCUCUGUUGUUACGGGAGCGGUACUUAACCAGAAAGGGACGGCUAACUACGUGCCAGCAGCCGCGGUAAUAC
rnacentral:rRNA from 1 species